GGUGGGCUGUUGCAAUGGUAGCAAGUAGACCUCCUACUGCAAAAUUAAAGCCGCACUGGAAUCAAAGUCUAAGGUUGUGGGUUCGAGUCCCACGUCCAUCG